rnacentral:rRNA from 1 species
UACGGAAGGCAGCAGUGGGGAAUAUUGCACAAUGGGCGCAAGCCUGAUGCAGCCAUGCCGCGUGUAUGAAGAAGGCCUUCGGGUUGUAAAGUACUUUCAGUCGUGAGGAAGGUGUUAAGGUUAAUAACCUUAGCAAUUGACGUUAGCGACAGAAGAAGCACCGGCUAACUCCGUGCCAGCAGCCGCGGUAAUACGGAGGGUGCGAGCGUUAAUCGGAAUUACUGGGCGUAAAGGGCACGCAGGCGGUUAAUUAAGUUGGAUGUGAAAUCCCCGGGCUUAACCUGGGAAUGGCAUUCAAGACUGGUUAGCUAGAGUCUUGUAGAGGGGGUAGAAUUCCAUGUGUAGCGGUGAAAUGCGUAGAGAUGUGGAGGAAAUACCGGUGGCGAAAGGCGGCCCCUGGGACAAAGGACUGACGCUCAUGCGCGAAAAGCGUGGGGAGCAAACAGGGAUUAGAUACC